rnacentral:rRNA from 1 species
GACAGAGGAGCCAAGCGUUGUCCGGACUGACUGGGCGUAAAGGGCCCGCAGGCGGCCGUGCACGUGGGGUGUGAAAGCUGGCCGCUUAACGGCCAGAGGCCAUCCCAUACGGCGCGGCUUGAGCCGCUCAGAGGCUGGUGGAAUUGCCGGUGUAGUGGUGAAAUGCGUAGAGAUCGGCAGGAACACCAAGGGGGAAGCCAGCCAGCUGGGAGCGUGCUGACGCUCAGGGGCGAAAGCGUGGGGAGCGAACCGG